rnacentral:lncRNA from 1 species
GUCAGGCCUCCCUUCUCACGAGGGGGUUAAGACGUCUCUGUCAAGUAGGAGUCGUGUCGCAUAAUGAAAAUAAACACAAAAAUCAAGAUUCUUUUAGGACAUCACCCUCGCUCUAAUGGAGAAGGGCAGGGCAAGAAAAACGAACAGUGCAAAUUUAUGUCUGAAGCAGGUUUCUUAAUGAAGUAUUUUGUGGUCGCGAACCCCAGGUACUGCCCUAUACCCAGCCACGGACAGUGGAUGGCGGGAAGAGAAGUUUACAACAGCCAGCGAGCCAGCUGGUGGCCAGCCUCUCCACGGAACUCCAACUGCAGAACCGUGUCUCUGCAACGAGCCUGAACACGCCCAGUUAACCCAAUCGCCAGACACACCAAGACGUCCAAGUACAGACCUACCGUUUCCCCAGAACUUUCAUUGCUUUUGAAAUUGCUUCCAAUAUCAGUCAGUCACAGGUAGAAUUGAGCAUUUCUAUUUCGACAUGCUAAUUUAGGCAAAGGCCAAACAAACGGCCCACAAGUUGUCCAACAAAAAUGAUUAAUUGGAUAGAAAACAAAUUUCAGUAACUCCGUAUGCACUCUGGUACGUUUACCGCACGUGUGGCCGGCCUGGCGGAGGGAAGUUUCUCCGCAGAUGCACACACUGUAAAACUCCCCACGAACCACCACCGGUCCCCUCAGGAAAGGACUGUGGGUCUGGGCCUCUCUCAGGUGACAGACAGACUGAAAUGUGCAGGAAAAGGGCACCAAAUUCAGAAGAGCUGACCUCAGUAUGCGCAGCACGUGUUCACAGAUGGUCGAUGCUUCCGUUUACACUUUUUUGUUAAGACAAUAGACUGAGGAGGAUUUAACAUAAUACAAAUCAUUGAGAAAUUUUUUUAAAAAACGUACAUUUUUAAAUGAAAGAGGACAAGUAGCAGAAACUUGCUCAGCGUGAUGAGCUACAUUAGAGAAAAAGAAUACACACAGUAUUUAAACAAGCAGGUUUACAACAUAUAUUUACACAUUUUUACCUGAGGUGCAAGCAGUAUAUACUUUCUCCCCACCCCCCGCCCCAAAGGAUUUCUUUUCAGCAGCGCUCAAGUAUGCAAAAAACUUCUUUUUUGGUCAAUUCUAAAAAAAAUAUUAUUCAGGACAAAAUAGAGAUGUCCGGUCUCCAUUUGUGUACAACCCAGCUGUUCCAACUAGUUUUUAUUGCUAUUUGGUACAAAAGUUAACAGAACAACUUUACAAAACCGUAGUGUUCCUUGUAUGUUGUAUGUACAGUACAAUCACAGCUUAUUUCAGUAGCUUUCACCAGUUGCUUUUUCAAAGGAUGAACUGAUUUGAUUCCGUGGAGAGUACACACUUACAUCCAUCAAGACCUAAGGAGGGAAAAAAAGGUUUAAAAAUGAUUAGAAAUAACUAAAUACGGUUUCGGAAAAAGCAUAACAAAUAAAUAGAACUACAGGAAUCUCA